GAUGAACGCUGGCGGUAUGCUUAACACAUGCAAGUCGAACGGACUCUUCGGAGUUAGUGGCGGACGGGUGAGUAACGCGUAAGAAUCUGGCUUUGGGUUCGGGACAACCACUGGAAACGGUGGCUAAUACCGGAUGUGCCGAGAGGUAAAAGAGAAAUUGCCUGAAGAUGAGCUCGCGUCUGAUUAGCUAGUUGGUGAGGUAAAGGCUCACCAAGGCAGCGAUCAGUAGCUGGUCUGAGAGGAUGACCAGCCACACUGGGACUGAGACACGGCCCAGACUCCUACGGGAGGCAGCAGUGGGGAAUUUUCCGCAAUGGGCGAAAGCCUGACGGAGCAAUACCGCGUGAGGGAAGAAGGCUCUUGGGUUGUAAACCUCUUUUCUUAGGGAAGAACAAAAUGACGGUACCUAAGGAAUCAGCAUCGGCUAACUCCGUG
rnacentral:rRNA from 1 species